CCACCGGGGCCCCAAAGCCGGCGGCGGCUGGGAGGGGUGCGGGGAAACACGACGGCCUGCCCCCUCCUCCGAGCCGGCGGGGCCGAGAGGGGGGUCUGGUUCACCUCCAUGCCACACUCUCAGCCCAACUUCUUCCAGAAGGAUCACCAGGAUCACCCUCGGGUGGGAUCAGGCCAGGUGGGGACAAGGUCCUAUGGAUUUGUAAAGGAUCACUGAACACUUCUUCCCUGAGGAGCACUUCUCUCUCAGAUGGGCAGCAUUCACAUACAACACAUCCUGAGGUGAGGACGAGAGAGCAUCAGUGUGCAAACCAGGAAGAGAACCAGCAACCUGGUUCCUCCCCAGGAACCAAAUUGGCUUGCACCUUUUUCUUGGACUUCCAGCCUCCGAAACUGUGAAAAAUAAAUCUUGUUUAGGCCACCCCAUCUAUGGCAUUUUGUUAUGGCAGCCUGAGCCGACUGAGACAGCGGGUUAUCCAGCUUUUCUCUAUGCUCCCAUUUGUUCAUCUGCAAAAUGUGGCCAA